AAUCUUGCGCAAUGGGCGAAAGCGUGACGCAGUCAUGCCGUGUGAAUGAUUAAGGGCUUAGGAAUGUAAAAUUCUUUCACCGGGAACGAUAAUGACGGUACCCGGAGAAGAAGCACCGGCUAACCUCGUGCCAGCAGCCGCGGUAAUACGAAGGGAGCUAGCGUUGCUCGGAAUUACUGGGCGUAAAGGGCGCGUAGGCGGAUCGUUAAGUCAGGGGUGAAAUCCCGUGGCUCAACCUCGGAAUUGCCCUUGAUACUGGCGAUCUUGAGUAUGAGAGAGGUAUGUGGAGCUCCGAGUGUAGAGGUGAAAUUCGUAGAUAUUCGGAAGAACACCAGUGGCGAAGACGACAUACUGGCUCAUUACUGACGCUGAGGCGCGAAAGCGUGGGGAGCAAACA
rnacentral:rRNA from 1 species